rnacentral:rRNA from 1 species
UGCGUAAUAGCUCCCUGGUCGAGUGAUCCUGCGCCGAAGCUUUCCGGGGCUAAAACUUACGACCGAAGCUACGGCAUCAGUCAUGAUGGGUAGGGGAGAUUCCCUAACGGGUGGAAGCGUGACCGUAAGGACAGGGGGUCAGUAUGGGAGUGAGAAUGUUGGCAUGAGUAGCGAGAUGUGGGUGAGAAUCCCACAGGCCGUAAACACAAGGUUUCCAGGGGAAGGUUCGGCCGCCCUGGGUUAGUCGGGAACUAAGCUGAGGCCGAAAGGCGUAGGUGAUGGACAACAGGUUGAUAUUCAUGUACUACCGAUAACCGUUGGAGAGAAGUGAUGACACAGUCGGAA